UCAAACUAAUCCAUAAAUCAUUUCUUUACUUCUUGAGUUUUUCGUUAUUACUCCGCCCACUUGAAGCAAUCAAUCUAUCUCUUUGUUUUCCACAGUAACCGUUGAAGCUUCGGCUAUAAAUAUAUGUCCUUCAUGCGAUGAUCAGUACAACUCAAACGAUAUCCAAAAGCAAUUUUUUUCGUAGCAACCCAUCCGAGAAUGGCUAAUUCCUUCAUCAUUCUUGCGGAAUUAAAAAACAGGGACCAGUCUCUCCAAGGAAGAUGACAGGCUUAGAGUAUGUGAUCAGUGAUGCUACUGAGAUUAUCCCGACAAGAUUAUAUCGAUGCUGACGUAUAAUAUCGAUGCAAACGUAUAACAAGGUUAUAUUGAUGCUAACGUAUAAUAUCAUGGACGGUACAAUAUACCAGGCUCCACAGCGUUGUAGUGCCUUUGCAGCUCGAGUUGUAUGUUUCUUCAUCCUUUCUAUUUACGUUCAUGUGUUGCUUGGAGGGCAUAGACUAAGCAAAGGUUUUUUUUUAGUUGCUGCUAAAGUGUUUUUUGUUUUCUUCUCUUUCUCCUUUAAGGUCUGGCUGUUUAGAAGGUUUCUCUGCAGCUGCAUUAAAGUUGGGGACAAUUAGUCAUUUUAAGAUUUUGUUUUCUUUAAUAAGUUGGUUCUGUCUCAGUUUCAUGUGAUGUAAAUCUUUUCUGCUACUAAGAGUCGAUUUCAAAGUUUGUUGCAAGCUCGACUAGCUAUGUCCACAAGACCGGACUGAGAAGUAUAUGUUUUUUGUAUGAACUGCAUGUAGAUGCAAAUGUAAAAAUACUUUUCAUUAACUUAGGAAGCUCAUAUCUGAACAGAUUUAAUUUAUCAAGUACUUUAGAAUUUGUUGUUCUUUGUUGUGAUUAACUUCAUCGAUCUUAUGAUAUGAUCUAUAGUUGUCAGUUGAUGCUAAAAACCAGAACAUGCCUUCUGAGACAAAGCCCCCAAUGGUACACAAUCUUUCACACCACUUCUCUUCCGGUAAAUAUAAAAAAUAUUUUUUUUAGAGAAGUUGGGUUUUAUGGCUGUGCUCUGUGACAGAGGAAUUGAAUUUGAUGUUUUUAGAUUCAUCAAAGAUGAUGUCUUCGUAGAAAUCAGGAGCAACACACCUUAUAUAAGAAAAAAAAAAGAAUUGAACAGUAUCUAUGUCGAAGAAGUCAAGAGUUCUUUGAGCAACGCGUUUCUUCAGGCCGAUAUUGUUAGCUUUGACCAAACCCAUCUUCAGAAUCACUAAGAUUCAAUUUUAAGUGAAGGUUUGUUUGCUCAUGAUUGUUGUUCUGUUUCUGCACCAGACACUUAAUGGUUGCAAAUGCAGCAGAUGGCAGAGCCGUUCUCUGUAGGAAUGGUGAAUCCAUAGACUUGUCUCGAGACCACAAACCAAUCUACUUACCGUAAAGAAGAAAGUCUAAGGAAGUGGCGGCUUCAAUGAUGCCAGUUACUUAAAUGGCAUAGCGAUUGGGACAUGUAACUACCACGAGGGUCACGAUCUCCACUCUUAGCAGAGCCAGGAGAUCAAAAAGAUACAUUUAACAGAGGAAGACAAGUUUCUAAUAAUGGGAUGCGACGAGAUUUUGGACGUUUUGACAAUUCAAAAGGUUUUUGUAUCGUUAGGUGUGAAUUACGUCGAUCACGAUGACCCGAUAACGCUUGCUUUGAGGUCUUUAAGGCUAAAUAAGCUUGAUAAACCUAACAUUGGUUGUUUGAUUCUUGUCGGCUGAUGACAUAAGAGCAAUGGUCGCUCCUCCGGUGGAGGAUCAAUGGUGUUGUAAUUUUCUCAGAAGAGAUUGAGGGCCUUAUUUGAUGGUUGAAUGAAAAGAUAAUGACAUUCCCUUUUGUGUUCUUGGCUGAGCUUUUUCUUGCUUUUGUAUAUUUGGUGUCUGUAUCUAACUUCGAGUGUCUAUGUGCCCAAGUUUUGUGUAAGCGGUUAUUUGUUCGUGCAUGGAUUGAAAGUUUUUUUUAUGUACGUGCUACAUUUAGUUUAUAUAAUUACAUGGAUUCCAGUU